GUAAGUAUAGUUUAAUAAAAAUAUUAGAUUGUGAUUCUAAAGACAAGGGUUAGACUCCCCUUACUCACC
rnacentral:tRNA from 1 species